rnacentral:rRNA from 1 species
CACGAACCGGACGAACGUUAUUCGGAAUCACUGGGCUUAAAGGGUGCGUAGGCGGCCUGACAAGUUGGGUGUGAAAUCCCUCGGCUUAACCGAGGAAUUGCGCUCAAAACUGUUGGGCUUGAGGGAGUUAGAGGUGAGCGGAACUUAGGGUGGAGCGGUGAAAUGCGUUGAUAUCCUAAGGAACACCAGUGGCGAAAGCGGCUCACUGGAGCUUUUCUGACGCUGAGGCACGAAAGCUAGGGGAGCGAACGGG